CAUUAGCAGAUUCCUACCCUGUGGCAUCCUCCUUCAGCUCAGUGCUGUUAUGUUACUCAAAACAGGAAUUUGCACCUUUUCCAGGGGAUGAAAAUGAUUUGGCCCUUCAGGAAUGUCUCGGCUUUCAAUUCAUAUUUCACAAAGUCCAGCCCUGUCUGCAGUUUGCUGUCACCCAGGAUGAUGCUGAAAAUGUAAAGGGUUAUCUGAGAUUGACAGUAACCUUGGAAUGAAGCUACAGUGAUUUCAGCAUGCAGCCCACUAAGAACUAGACUGAUCUGGAUUGUUGGAUUACUUUGACUUAAACUUCUCUGAAAUCAAAGUAAGUGAUCUUGAAUGUGAAGCUGCAUAAGUAACAUGUGGAUGGCACAGCCCAAUCUCUAACCUGUGUUAAACUUUUGAUCCUGACUGGCACUGAAAGAAGUAGUAUAUGAGGGAACAUACGAAACCUAUGCUGAGAGAACAGAGCAGGUUGUUAAGCAUUCAUAUCUGCACCAAGCCCAUGUGUGCUGUGCUGUUCAAGAAUACAACCCAGUGUUCCUCCAAAGAGGAUAUUUAGCAGCAUCUUUUUCAGAGAAAUGAUGCAUACGGUUUCACUACAGGGCUGAGAUGCUAAUUAGAAUCUACGGUUUCCAGACAAUCUCUUCCAUUAAAUGUUUCUCUUUUCUCUAUAGUCCAAGCUUGCAAACAAAGAGGAUUUUCUGGCUUCUCACCAAUAAGAAACUAAUUAUAGACAGCUUGAUAAUGUCUGGCAAUAAUCUGAUCAGCUGACUCCUAGUUCCUGAACACCCUUAAUGGGGUGAGAAGGGAAUAUGAGAAUGACAAUACAACUUUCCAGUCUAUGGUUCUCACUUAUUCAUCUCCAGGUACCACAAAGCCCUAAAUAUACCCGUAUGUUUCUGCUUGCAAGAAAAUGUGUGGAUAAUUAAAAUCCAAGCUGUAUGACAGGCUGUUUCUCUCAGUAAAGAGGGAUUCGUGCUAAAUGAGCUGUAGAUCAACAAAUGUUUGGAGAGCCCAAAGAGUCACCUCAUCCAAGCUGCCUUCCUCUUCUUAGCCUGACUCUCAACUCAUAGACAGAUGCCAAUUGUUCCUUCCCUUUCUGCUUUCUAGACCAUGCUUUCCUUUCAUUGCUGAGCAUGGUCUUCUUUAGUUCUCUGCUGCUCCUGAGUACUUCCUACCUCUUCCAGGAGAAGGACCAGAACAUGGACUACUACAAUUCAGAAGAGAGACCUUAGUGACUAAAGAACGCCGAUGUUUCCACCAUCAUAUGCACUAAAAGGCAUCUAGCAGCUCUCCAAGGAGCUGCUGAGCCUGUUGCAUCUGGAUUUUUGUGGCUUGCAGCCCACCCUAGGACUCCACCUACCGCCAUCCCUUCUAGGGGUUUGGAAAGCACAGGGCUGAUAACAGUGAGAUAAGUAACAGCUAAUGUGAGCUGUCAGAACAAAUCAGUUUAAUUUCAGUCUGCGAUAGGGCAAUCAAUCUUGAAGAUAAAGGAGAAACAGUGGAUGUUACAUAUCUUGGCUUUUAUACUAGUCAAAUGACAAAUUUUAGUGACGUUUUCUCAAGCAAAUUGAAGGAGAGCGGUCUAAAUGAAUAGACUUAACUUUGUUAUUGAAGAGGAAGGCAAUAUUAAGUAAGGUUCUGCACUGAUCUCUCCUAGAUCCCAUGGUAUUUGUUAUUUUCAAUAAAGAUCUAAAUGACAGCCUGCAGAACACCUUGUGAAUUUUCAGGUAAUGCCAAGAUGUGAGGAGAUGCUGGGGUGUAUCGGAAGGCAGGGCUAGAAGACCAAAGCACCCCCAGACUGGAGCAGUGUCAAAACAAAAACAGGAUGCAGUCUGGAAGGGGCUGGUGAAAGGUGCUAAAAUUAGGCAGAAAACAAAACACCCUGCAGUGGUAUGGGGGAAACCAGCUGUCUGAAGGACAGUUCUGCAGAAACUGAUCUAGGGGGCGACCCACAUCACAUCUGUCAACAAGGCAAUAGCAUUAAUGAGGAAAAAAUGCACACCAGCAUGUGUAAAAGGAAGUCUGCAAGAAACAUCAGUAAUAUGUCUAAUCCUGGAUAACAAUCUUGCAAAAAAAUGUGGAUAUAAACUGCAGGGGAACACCAGCAAUAACAACUGGUACAGAAGGGACAGAGUACAAGCCUUAAAGGAGACAUUGAAGGAAAACAGCCUUACAAUGCUCACAUGUGUAAAGAGAAAAAAGCUCUGUCAUGUGAAGCAGGUUAUAAUCACGAUACAAUCAGUUCUUGUAUUCAUAAAGUAAGAAGAGAGCUUAAAUUUUAGCAGGAAAGAUUCUGACUGGGAAGAACUUCCUAAUACUGGGAAGAUAAACACUGUAGUAGACUGCUCAGAGAAGUUGUGAAGGAUCUUAGCUUUGACAGCGUGUAAGAAUAGUUUGUAUAAAAGUUACCUGGAACAUGCAUCACCUGUACCCCUGCACUGUGCUUGAGUCUCAAUUUCUGUCUGCAAUUCAGUUACUGAUUGUGCUGUCACAAUUGGAGCACAAACUUGGUUCUCCCAGUGACAGCCCACUCAUUCAGAAGGUUCUAUGGAAGGAGGUUGCUGUGACACCCUCCAAGCUAGACUUCUGAAUACAUUAGCACUUAGUAACAGCAGCCAGGAGAUGUAGGAGCAAGAUCCUAGAAAACCACUGGUGGGACAAGAACUUCAAUCAGCUUUUGAUACCUAGACAAGAGCUUCAGUCAGCUAUUAAUGCCUAGAUCACUUCAUUCUAUAAUCUCUUUCGAUCCCUCCUGAGAUCCCUAGCUGAGAAACCUUACUGGCAAGGAGAGGUUGAAUGUGGAGGCACAUUUCCUUCAUUAAAAUAACAGCCCAAUCA